CCUACGGGUGGCUGCAGUGGGGAAUAUUGGUCAAUGGGCGCAAGCCUGACCCAGCAACGCCGCGUGAAGGAAGAAGGCUUUCGGGUUGUAAACUUCUUUUGUCAGGGACGAAGCAAGUGACGGUACCUGCCGAAUAAGCCAAGGCUAACUACGUGCCAGCAGCAGCGGUAAUACGUAGGGGGCAAGCGUUCUCCGGAUUUACUGGGGGUAAAGGGCGUUGAGGCGGGGAAGCAAGUCAGAUGGGAAAACCACGGGCUCAACCUGUGGCCUGCAUUUGAAACUGGUUGUCUUGCGUGCUGGAGAGGCAAUCGGAAUUCCGGGUGUAGCGGUGAAAUGCGGAGAUAUACGGAGGAACACCAGUGGCGAAGGCGGAUUGCUGGACAGUAACUGACGCUGAGGCGCGAAAGCGUGGGGAGCAAACAGGAUUAGAUACCCUAGUAGUC
rnacentral:rRNA from 1 species